rnacentral:rRNA from 1 species
GAUGAACGCUGGCGGCGUGCCUAAUACAUGCAAGUCGAGCGAACAGACCAGGAGCUUGCUCCUCUGACGUUAUCGGCGGACGGGAGAGUCACACGUGGAUGACAUACCUAUUAGACUCGGCUAACAUCAGGAAACCAGAACUAAAACCGGAAGAUUUAUUGAACAAGAAUGAUCCAUAGUGAAAUACGCUAUUUCUGUAACUAAUAGCUGGCUACGCGCCUCAUCAGCUAGUUGGUAAGGUAACGGCUUAGCAAGGCAACGAUGGGUAGCCGACCUGAGAGGGUGAACGGCCACACUGGAACUGAGACACAGCCCAGACUCCUACAGGAGGCAGCGGUAGAGAAUCUUCCGCGAUGGGCGAAAGCCUGACGGAGCAACGCCGCGUGAGUGAUGAUGGUCUUCGGAUCGUAAAACUCUGUUAGUAGGGAAGAACAAAUGUGUAAGUAACUAUGCUCGUCUUGACGGUACCUAAUCAGAAAGCCACGGCUAACUACGUG